GGGUUAGUAGGUUGGUCAUGCCUCUGGUAUGUACUGGUCUCACUGAUUCCUCCUUCCUGAUGAACCGUAAUGCCAUUAAUUUGGUGUUGCGGGGAAUUUGGACUGUUACUUUGAAAAAAUUAGAGUGUUUAAAGCAAGCUAACGCUUGAAUACAUUAGCAUGGAAUAAUGAAAUAGGACGUUCGAUCCUAUUUUGUUGGUCUCUAGGAUUGACGUA
rnacentral:rRNA from 1 species